rnacentral:lncRNA from 1 species
CUGGCAUUCUCUGGAUUGAUGGUGCUUUCAAAACAACUGGGAACUCAGAAAAAAACAAGGUUGAAUCAUGAUGAUGUCAUUGAUCUUCAGGUCGUAGCUUUAGAAAGAGGCCGGAUUUACAAUUCCGAUUUGGAUGACUGUUCAAAACUUAUUUUCCCAGUCGGAGCUCGUUUAUUCCCGACUGCCCAGGUGUCUUGAAGUUAACAGUUGUUUUGAGCGUGGCACAAAUCAUGCUUCAUUGACAGCAUGGCCAAUGUUGAAUGUUUAUCAUUAUAAAUUUGGAAAAGAGACCCUUAAUCCCAGAUUUGAGACCACACAGCCACUCCACUGAAUAGCAGGCUAGUGAUUGCUUUGCAAUGCUUGCAGUUAGCCACUGUUACUGAUUCCUUCCAAACCACUCAUUGUUGAAUUUGUGAUUUCCAACUUGUUGUGUAAUGUUUAUGUCCAAUGGCCUAUGAGCACUGAUACAUUUUAUCUAUAAUCUCUCUUCAUUAUUUCUCUUCAUAUGACAAGGAUUAAAAAGGAUUUGCCAGUAGAUUGUCGAAAUGAUUCAUGAUGAUGGCUGCUAGCUAAGAUUUUGAAAGUAUGAUGUUGACAUGAUCAGUCCAAUCAAAGCUACUGUACAUAUAACGUGAUUUGAUGUAAUUUUAUCUGUGGCCUUCUUGGAUGGGCACUUCUAAUGUAACUCUAUGGCAGCACCCAAGGGGCUAGAAUUUUCUAGCUCUACCCUUAGACUUGGCGGUGACUUAGUGUCCCCAUGAGUGACAGAACACUGAGCCAAUCAUGGUGAAACGCUCCGUAGCACUGAGCUAGGCUGAAACCCCUGCAUUUUGGAGCUGCCUUACUCAAGAAAACAAAAAAAGAGACCAUGUUUGUAUGCGGCUUUAUUAACUCAAUUAUAUAUAUAUUGUAACGAGUGUCGUAUGGAGUAGACAAAGGCGCAGCGGGUUGAGUGCUCAUAUUUACUUUUAUUGAGACACUUAAUAACAAAACAAGAAAACAAACGAACGACAAACAGUCUUGCAGGCUAAACAUAGCAGUGCAAAACAACUUCCCACAAAAAACAGGUGAAAAAAGGGCUACCUAAGUAUGACUCCCAAUCAGCAACAACAAUGUACAGCUGUUCCUGAUUGAGAGCCAUACCAGGCCAACAAAGAAAUACACAACAUAGAAAAACCAUAGAAAUACAAAACAUAGAACAAUACCCCAAAACCCCGGAACACAUAAAACAAACACCCCUCUUACAUAAGUACAUAUCCCAUAUCCCAAAUGUUGAUAUUUUUGGGGGGUUGCAAAAAAUGUGAUGUUCACCUGCCCUGAAUGACGGGUCGCCACUGCUAUGAAGCAAACUAGAUCUACUCAAGGUUUUCUAAAGCUAGCCAGCUUCAGUUAGCUUCCCAUUCCAGCUCAGGCUUCAUCCGUACUACGACAGUAGCUAUUGCUCGUCUGCCUGCCGCUCUGACAGGCUGUCUCCGCAAGUCUCACACGACACUCGCCCAAAAGUUGCCACUCCAAGCUGGGCAAUGUCUCGUUGAGCUCAACACUCCUACCACAGAUCCUCUGCAGAUAAACGAAUUGCUCCUACUGUGUUCUUCUUCAAUGUUUUAUGGCAGACUACACCUAUUUGUGUAUUGCCGCCACCUACUGUACAGGUUAUUCUUUGAUAUUACUGCGGUCUGCAAACAAAUGCUAUAGGUGCAUUCCGCCACCUACUGUUGUGGCUGUAUAUCAGCCCAAAUAAUUAACAAAAACGAAACUAAAUAAACUUAACUUAAUGUACUCCUUUACUGAGAUUCAACUGCCAACGCACAUCCCUACAGGCUCUGGGGCCUGAGAAGAGCAUCUUCAGACUGUAUUCUUCGCAAUGUUUCGGCAGUGAAGUCCUGGAAACCUCAAAACCUUUCAGCCGCACAUACCAUUAUGUCCAGUUUCUUGGAUUGUUGGUUUGUGCAGUACAAUUAAUCACAUGCGCAAUAAACACCAUAAAAUCCACCUUCACGAUCAGCACAUCAGUUCCCCUCAACUGUUGAACAACACUUUAAAUCUCCACAGUCUGCGGAGCAUCCACCGCCCUAUCUUCAGCUCUCCUCGCUCCUUCAACUAUUUCACGUGCCUCUGUGUAGGGGACCUUCUGUAUAGCCCUGACCCUUGCCACCUCAUACUCCGUUACCCUAACCGGGCACUCCAGAGAAUUGGGAAUGUGGUAGCCAUCACAAUUACAACAUUGUACACCCUCAGAUUCUUCAACAACAUUCCUUCGGCACACACUUAAUACAUGUUCAUCCCUUUUGCAAUUCCGGCAAAACAACGGUUUGGACUGCUACUGUAUUGAUGAACUAAUUGCACCAAAUUGGUUUAGGCCAUGCCCCUUCCCACUACACCUUUUCCCAUGCCUGGUAUCACCCCCCUUCAGCCUUUUUCUUACUCCUCACCUUGCCAUAACCACCUUCUCCCCUCCUGAACACAGCAAAUCUGUUGGUGUUGCCACAAGUGGUAUAUUCGCUUUUCUUUUCUGCGUGAAAUAAUCAACCACCACAUCCUUCCGAACCCUACUUAACGGCCUUUCAAGUCAAAAUAAUCCAAGGGUGGCUGGUGUGACGGUCAUGGCAUCCCUACAGGACUCCAAUUACAAUAAGCCAUGCCCCUUCCCUCCACCUGUUCCCUCUCCCUUAAUCACCUUUCCCCCCUUUCAUUUCCCUAUUUAAGCAGCAUGCUCCUUUCGACACACUAGAAUAGUUUGCUUGGUGAUGCCACAGGGUGGUCCUAGCCUUAGCUUCCAUUGUGUGAUAUGAUUAAGUGUCUUAUAUUGUAGGAGAGAUUUAAGUUAACCAUGUACAUUAUGCUGCCUGGUCUUGUUGUACAUUUAUCCAUGGUAUGCAAAUGAACCUUAUGUCUGAAGAGGUUACAGAAGACGGCAAUGCAGUGUUGUAGUAAUCGAGACUACAUGCAGUGUAUUCAGACCCUUUGACUUCUACAUUUUACAUCGCAGCCUUAUUCUAAAAUGGAUUAAAUGUUUUUUUCCCCCUCAAUCUACACACAAUACCUCAUCAAGCAAAAACGGGUUUAGAAAGUUUUGCUAAAAAGAUUUAACUGAAAUAUCACAUUUACAUAAGUAUUCAGACCCUUUACUCAAUACUUUCCUUAAGUAUUUUUUAUCUAUUAUAGACAUGUUAUUGGCAAACCAAUAGGCCUUCAGUGUGACAGGUUCGUGAUUCUGAACCGUUAUACCAGCGCACUCAUGUAGGAGUGCACUUUUUGUAAAACACAAAGGGCCAGUGAUGUAGUGGAGGGUAUGCGCAAGUAUAACCCGUAUACCCACUUUUUUGUCGGUGGGCAUUGUGUAUAUUCUACUCCUUAAUCCCUACUGAUGCGUAUCAAAGUAGUGUAGUGGAGGUAUACGAUUUAUCAAUUAUGUAGUACAAUAGAGCGAUCAUGCACAAAGUUGCCUAUGCAAGCACGUGAAACAUAUUGACAUGCACGCCGAACAUAGCCUAGUGGGUAGUGGUGGGACGUCAUAAAGGGGGGCAGAGCAAGCUUCAAUCAGGAAGCUCACAGUAAGAUCAGUGACAUAGCUUUUUUUUCU